rnacentral:rRNA from 1 species
GAUGAACGCUGGCGGCGUGCCUAAUACAUGCAAGUCGAGCGAACAGACGAGGAGCUUGCUCCUCUGACGUUAGCGGCGGACGGGUGAGUAACACGUGGAUAACCUACCUAUAAGACUGGGAUAACUUCGGGAAACCGGAGCUAAUACCGGAUAACAUGUUGAACCGCAUGGUUCAACAGUGAAAGACGGUCUUGCUGUCACUUAUAGAUGGAUCCGCGCCGCAUUAGCUAGUUGGUAAGGUAACGGCUUACCAAGGCAACGAUGCGUAGCCGACCUGAGAGGGUGAUCGGCCACACUGGAACUGAGACACGGUCCAGACUCCUACGGGAGGCAGCAGUAGGGAAUCUUCCGCAAUGGGCGAAAGCCUGACGGAGCAACGCCGCGUGAGUGAAGAAGGUCUUCGGAUCGUAAAACUCUGUUAUUAGGGAAGAACAAAUGUGUAAGUAACUGUGCACAUCUUGACGGUACCUAAUCAGAAAGCCACGGCUAACUACGUG